GUCAGGGUAGCUCAAUGGUAGAGCACAGCAUUCAUAACGCUGCGGUUAUGGGUUCGAUCCCCAUCCCUGACA
rnacentral:tRNA from 1 species